CAGGCAUCUUUUUUUGGAAACACACCAUUUGGUGAAAGUGUGGACGGCUUUUGUUUGCCUGUGCGCUCCAUACAGCCUUCUUCACUCCCGUUGGACUGCAAUUAAGCUGGUUGGAGUGAUGUGAUGCCAGAGGCCUUAGUACGAGCUACUUCACACAGCUUACUGAACUCAACCCACUGAGCUGCUCACACACUGGAAGAGGACUGCGCACAUGAAAGCAGAGACUGAACCUAAACAUUUCAACAUGGGAGCUCGCCCUUCUGCCGUCAUGUUUUCUACCUAGCUGGACUUUGCUUCAGCGAGUAAGAGCAGCUGUCUCUCAGCAGGGUCAGCAGACAGUGUGAAACACAGCACAAUGGUUUAGGCUCACAUCGAUGAAGCUCUGAGUCUGUGCCUCUCGGUUUGAGCUCAAGGAAAUGCCAGCUGGAUGCUGCCUGGAUUUUGAAUAAACAAUCGGCCGCUUGUCCUGUUGACCUCAUGUUCUAAAGCACAGACAGAAAACAACGCUGGCAAGAAGAAACAUUGUACUGUUGCAGAGAAACUAAAUGCAGAUUAUUCAAAGUUUUAUGAAUACGUGUUACUUAAUUUGCAUCCCACGUCUCGAGGUCUCGAUGCAUCGAGUUCCUGAGUUUUUUGUUUGUUUUUUCUUAGCUUUUUUUUUUUUUUGUGAACAAGCACAUAAACAGUCAUCUCUAAUAAAGUGGCUACUGAGUGUAUAUAUCAUACUUUCAAAACCAGGACAGAGGCUUUCAGUCUAAAAAAACGAUUUUAACAAAUCCCCCAAUGUUCCAGAUGAGAGUGAAUGAACUAAAUGUCCAGCUGACAUUGUCUUAGCCAGGCUUCAUUGACUAUCUAAUGUAAUUCUGUUCUCAAAUUGCCAUAAAUACAAUAACUGCCUGCCUAAGCUAUUUUAAGCAUGUGGGGGGAAAAGCAUGUAAAAUCAAAGUAUCUACCUCCUGUAGUGAUUUAGAAGCUUGUCUAGCUCACGUCACUCACUUGCUGUCGUUGAAUAUUUUGGUGCACAAUUCUGAUGCAUCGCAUCACUACAACUGCGAAGGUUUAUUUGCACACUCACUGAGGAAUUGGAAAGCUGCCACAUCUACUAUUUGUUCUGGUAAUUAGUCGCACCUAAAGCAACAAUGGCCUUGAUCUGCAUGAUGUCUUCAGCGAGGAGAGUGUAAACAUUAAAAACAGACAUUUGUUUUCCUUAAAUGAUAAAAAAAAAUUUCACUUUUUUCUAGAUGCAACCAAUAAUCUUACUGUCAACUAAGGAGACACAAAAUGCAUAUAUUUAUAGAGAUUAAACUACAGUUAUGCAGCCAAUAAAACAAUGUUUUAUUUAUAAUGCACAAUCUCCACUGUUUGUUUAACAGACUGAGCUACAGUUCGACCCUUAAGGCUGCAGAUGAUGAGCUCUAACAGUCUGUCAGCGACCUUUCUUAGCUUUCUUCCUGAUCAAAGUCUUCACUCAGCAUCACCCGCAGGUCCCAACCCUCAGUCCUUCACACUCAAUGCGCUGAAGGACAAAGGCUGGAGGAGGACGUACAGAGGAAGGAGAAAAUGCACAAUGAGAAAGGUCGGCUCAGCUCAUCCGAUACAGAAACGCGAAGGAGGCGGGUAGAGGACAAAAGACUGGGUGGAAACGAUCUGAAGACUCAUGAAGAGGAGGAGGAAGAAGAAGGGGAGGAGGAGGGAGGCUGAGACUGAAGGGGAACCUCAUCGGACAGGCGAAGCAGCUUCAAUUAAGAUUGGUCAACAGAUAAAAAGCUUCACAUGUUUGUGUGGGAGAGUGUGACGACCUCAAUCAUUGUGGAUGUUUAAAAGCCCAGACGAACGUCAGCAUGCAUGUGUUACAAUUACUGUGCAUAACCUGAGAGCAUCCGUACCGAAGUAAGGAAAGUGCAUGAAGAGUUUGAGCUUUUUAUUUUGUUAGCCAUUUUUGCUUCCAGUCACUGUUUAGUUCCAGAUGUUGCUUUACCAUCUAAGAAGACUCCAGGGAGCAGUUUGGAGUUCCAGACAGACAGCUCUCAGAGGUUAUAUUCUCCAUUCUUCAAGGCUCACUGCUCACAGCGAGGGAUCUGUUCUCACCGCCCACCAGUCUGGGACCUUGAAGACCUGUAACGAUGGGCUGCUAGCAUGGCUUUAUCCUCUUAGACUGAGUGAAAGCGGAUAGGAUACGAGACACAAAUCUGCCUUAAGAAUUUCAUUGGAGAUUUUCAAUGUUUUUCCUUGUGUGGAUAAAUAAAAGAUGUAAUUCCUUUCUGACCUGUGGUGGGCCACAACUAAACAGCUUGUGUGUUUUAAUGUUUCCAUUAAAGUCUCUGCUGUGUGGUUUUUACUAUGAAAUAAUUAUCAGUGUUAAAUAUAAAUAAAUUGCAUUUAAAACAAGCUAACCAUUCUGUGGUGGAAACGGCACAGCAAGCAAAUACAACAAUUUUACCUGCUUUAAAUUCAGAUGUUGCCGCAGAGUAGCUACACAGUCCGGGUUAACAGAAUUAGCAUUGCAUCCUUAACAGACUAGUGGUGUGCCAGCAGCCAAGUGCAACUGUUGCAGAGCAGAGCAGCAGUAAAUGUAAAUGCUGUUACCCUGCAGAGUCCCAGAGCCCUGUGUUCCUAGCAGGCUUUAGGGGAGGACGGAGCUGUCUGAAACAAGGCUUAACCGUUAGUUCUGCUGGUGUCCCAUUGCUAUUCUCGCUCUUUACAAGUAUCUUUCUAGCAGGAGCACCUUUCGGUCAUUCUUUGCACCCUUUCCCACUGGUGGGAUUUCUAUCUGUGAAGACUGAGUAGCUUUUGUUAGAAAAAUACUUACAAAACCUCACGUAUGUUAGUAACUCUGUGGCACUUUUUGAUAUUUUUAUUACUAAAUUAUUAAACAGAACAGAUUCUUUUGUGCUUACAGUAUUUUAGCAUAACUUCCUGUUAUGAUCCUGGUUUGAUUAUGUUUUUCCCUGUGCUACUGUCAGUGUUUCAUUCUUCUCAAAUUCAGAGCUCAAUGGUCUGUGAUGAAACAUGUUUACUGAUAAACACUACGCAGUACUGUGAGCCACGAAUUUAAUCAGAAAUGAACCGAUUAAAGGGCCACACCAUAGUCCCCAGAAGAGUCAGGAGUUCUAAUAAAUAGCUUAUACGUAACACUUUAAUUUUGCGUUAAGUGUUACAAUGAUGUUGGAUAUCGAAAUCAGGACUGCUCAGAGACUUUCUGGUUGAAUUUCAACUUGUGGUCACAUUUUUUUUUUAGUUCUGAAAGGAAACUCACAAGAUCCUCAUAGAACAUGACUUAACAUGUAAUGUUGUGUCACUAAAACGGCUUUAUCUGGCACUUAUUUAUGUCCUUACGACAGACAAAAUAAAACGUUUCUAUAAUUUUUUGGAAAUGUUUUCUUCUCUUUGGCCUGAAGAGACUUUGUAAGCACUCCUCAAGGUUGGAAU